CCAUCCCGUAUACCCUGCUGACCACCUCUACGGUCCUGACCCUGACCACGGCCUCUAACUGGAGGUGCUGGUAAAGCUGGGGGAGCUGCAUGAGGAGCGGGAGCAAUCCGACUAUGCUGAGGGCAGUCCCUGGCCCAAUGACCCAUCUCACCACACUCAUAGCAACCCUGUCGAGGGCGACUCCCAGAUUAACGACUACCAUGGCCUGAAGAACCCGA
rnacentral:lncRNA from 1 species